GACGAACGCUGGCGGCGUGCUUAACACAUGCAAGUCGAACGGAAAGGCCCUGCAUUUGUGGGGUGCUCGAGUGGCGAACGGGUGCGUAACACGUGAGUAACCUGCCCUUGACUUUGGGAUAACUUCAGGAAACUGGGGCUAAUACCGGAUAGGAGCUCCUGCUGCAUGGUGGGGGUUGGAAAGUUUCGGCGGUUGGGGAUGGACUCGCGGCUUAUCAGCUUGUUGGUGGGGUAGUGGCUUACCAAGGCUUUGACGGGUAGCCGGCCUGAGAGGGUGACCGGCCACAUUGGGACUGAGAUACGGCCCAGACUCCUACGGGAGGCAGCAGUGGGGAAUAGUGCACAAUGGGCGGAAGCCGGAUGCAGCAACGCCGCGUGCGGGAUGACGGCCUGCGGGUUGUAAACCGCUUUCGCCUGUGACGAAGCGUGAGUGACGGUAAUGGGUAAAGAAGCACCGGCUAACUACGUG
rnacentral:rRNA from 1 species